UAGCUCACUUGGCAGAGCAUUUGCCUGCCACGCAGAAGGGCCUGGGUUCCACCCCCAG
rnacentral:tRNA from 1 species